rnacentral:rRNA from 1 species
GUGGGGAAUUUUGGACAAUGGGCGCAAGCCUGAUCCAGCAAUGCCGCGUGCAGGAAGAAGGCCUUCGGGUUGUAAACUGCUUUUGUACGGAACGAAAAGGCUCUGGUUAAUACCUGGGGCUGAUGACGGUACCGUAAGAAUAAGCACCGGCUAACUACGUGCCAGCAGCCGCGGUAAUACGUAGGGUGCGAGCGUUAAUCGGAAUUACUGGGCGUAAAGCGUGCGCAGGCGGUUUUGUAAGACAGGCGUGAAAUCCCCGGGCUCAACCUGGGGAUUGCGCUUGGGACUGCAAGGCUGGAGUGCGGCAGAGGGGGAUGGAAUUCCGCGUGUAGCAGUGAAAUGCGUAGAUAUGCGGAGGAACACCGAUGGCGAAGGCAAUCCCCUGGGCCUGCACUGACGCUCAUGCACGAAAGCGUGGGGAGCAAACAGGAUUAGAAACCCCGGUAGUCC